rnacentral:misc_RNA from 1 species
UGGAGUUGAGGGUGGAUGG